AGUGAACGCUGGCGGUAGGCCUAACACAUGCAAGUCGAACGGCAGCACAGUAAGAGCUUGCUCUUACGGGUGGCGAGUGGCGGACGGGUGAGGAAUACAUCGGAAUCUACUUUUUCGUGGGGGAUAACGUAGGGAAACUUACGCUAAUACCGCAUACGACCUACGGGUGAAAGCAGGGGAUCUUCGGACCUUGCGCGAUUGAAUGAGCCGAUGUCGGAUUAGCUAGUUGGCGGGGUAAAGGCCCACCAAGGCGACGAUCCGUGGCUGGUCUGAGAGGAUGAUCAGCCACACUGGAACUGAGAAACGGUCCAGACUCCUACGGGAGGCAGCAGUGGGGAAUAUUGGACAAUGGGCGCAAGCCUGAUCCAGCCAUACCGCGUGGGUGAAGAAGGCCUUCGGGUUGUAAAGCCCUUUUGUUGGGAAAGAAAAGCAGCAGGUUAAUACCCCGCUGUUCUGACGGUACCCAAAGAAUAAGCACCGGCUAACUUCGUG
rnacentral:rRNA from 1 species